rnacentral:rRNA from 1 species
ACUCCUACGGGAGGCAGCAGUAGGGAAUCUUCCACAAUGGGCGAAAGCCUGAUGGAGCAAUGCCGCGUGAGUGAAGAAGGUUUUCGGAUCGUAAAACUCUGUUGUUGAAGAAGAACAUGCGUGAGAGUAACUGUUCACGUACUGACGGUAUUCAACCAGAAAGCCACGGCUAACUACGUGCCAGCAGCCGCGGUAAUACGUAGUGGCAAGCGUUGUCCGGAUUUAUUGGCGUAAGAGAAUGUAGGCGGUUUAUUAAGUUUGUAAGUGAAAGACCCUCGGCUCAACCGAGGAAGUGCUUCGAAAACUGGUAAACUUGAGUGCAGAAGAGGAAAGUGGAACUCCAUGUGUAGCGGUGGAAUGCGUAGAUAUAUGGAGGAACACCGGAGGCGAAAGCGGCUCUCUGGCCUGUAACUGACACUGAGGCUCGAAAGCGUGGGGAGC